UUUGUCAUAAUUUGUUUCUAUUUUUUUUUAUUUUAAUAGUCUCGCAGAAUUUCUAGUUAAAAAAAACACAGUUGCGUUUUGGCCUUGGAACGAGGAUUAUUCACACAAGAGGACUGAGAUUCUCCAAAAGGAAUUUUCCAUCAGAAGCUUAGCUGUAUACUGAAGGAUGACGAAGAAUAAAAAUUAUCCAGUGACGUAGCAAGAGGCCCUUAAGGAAAGAUAUUGCCUCUGGGUAAAGGACGGAAAAUUUUGAAUUAAGAAAAUAUUUUUAUCAAUAUGUGUUUCUUUAUAUUAAAAGGAUCUAAAUGUUA